UGUUGAGCUGGGGUGUUGCAGUUGAGCUUGUUUCUGCAUAAGUCCCUGAAUGCAGUGAUCAGCCUUGUUAGUUUGUUUGCUGUUCUGACCCUAGGUGAGGGCCUCGCACUUGGUGCCAUAAACUAAUUCAAAUGGAGUAAACCUGGUGGAUCCAAUUGGCUGAAUCCCAGGUGGUGAACAGGAGAAGAUGGGGCUCUUACCUUAGACAAGAAUGCUGCCAGACCUGCUGAGUUUUUCCAGCAACUUCUGUUUUUGUGCCAUUUUUAACAGCUAUGCCACUGACUUGACAGAGGUAAAGAAAGUUUUUACCUUUGCAUCCUCAAACUAAAGAAUUAAAUGAGCUAACCAAAUUUUCUCUGCCCUUAAUUCUGAGCAAAUACUGUAUUUACGGGAUGCAGUAAAGCUUCUGCUCCUUAGCUUGAGGUGUCGGCGUUCAAACUCUUUUCCUGCCAUUUUCCUGAAAUUCUCUAUUCCCCUCAUUAUUCUUUUGACCCUUUCGCCAUUGUCUGCCAGUUUGCCAUUCCUUUUUUGUGAAAUUCUAAUUUCCACUGCUCAAAUUUUAAUCUCUGUUCCACCAUGCUCCCCAUUUCAUCAUCCCCCGUUUCGACCUUAAAAAACAUUGGUAACCACUUUUAAAACAUUCUAAACUUUUAACUGUUCAAGGGACAGAACGUGUAUAUCCUCAAAAGUAAUUUCCCCUAUUUCUGCUAGGAAUAUGCUGACAUUGAGUAUGGACAUCUCUGUUCUAUAUUAA